UAUCUCUGUAGAGUCUGCAUAUCAAUAAGCGGAGGAAAAGAAACUAACAUAGGAUUCCCUCAGUAACGGCGAGUGAAGCGGGAAGAGCUCAAAUUUGAAAUCUUCAAGGUUCUACCUUGAGCGAAUUGUAGUUUAAAGAAGUGUUUUCUGUUGGAGUUUUGGUAAAAGUUCUUUGGAAUAGGACAUCAUAGAGGGUGAGAAUCCCGUAUUUGACCAUUUACUUUCAGCUUUGUGAUACACUUUCAAAGAGUCGGAUUGUUUGGGAAUGCAGUCCAAAAUGGGUGGUAAAUUUCAUCUAAAGCUAAAUACUGGCGAGAGACCGAUAGCGAACAAGUACCGUGAGGGAAAGAUGAAAAGAACUUUGAAAAGAGAGUUAAACAGUACGUGAAAUUGUCCAAAAGGGAAGCGUUUGACACCAGUGUUGUUUUCUCGAAAAUCAAUUAAAAAAGGCAGGAUUUUGUGUUGUAUUGACUUUAUCAGCUUUCUGCACUCUUUUCUUGUCUUUUUUAAUGCACUUUUCGUUUAACAAGUCAACAUCAAUUUCUUUUGUUGUAAAAGGGUCAUUGGAAGGUGGCUUUCUUUUCGGAGAAAGUGUUUAUAGCCUUUGGCCUCUGCAAUCGGAGAGAUUGAGGUCUGCAGCGUAGAUCCUUCGGGGUUAGAUACAUUUGUGCUAAGUUAUAGCCUUUCAUAGACAACUUGUUGACUAUGAUCAGUCAUGUAGCUUACUCGCUUAUGCUAUUUUACCUACGCUUAGGAUGUUGAAGAUGUAGCACAUCAU
rnacentral:rRNA from 1 species